UUCUGGUUGAUCCCGGCGGAGGUUACUGCUAUCGAGGUUCGACUAAGCCAUGCGAGUCGAAUGUAGCAAUACAUGGCGUACUGCUCAGUAACACGUGGACAACCUACCCUUAGGUCGGGGAUAAACCCGGGAAACUGGGUAUAAUACCCGAUAGUCCUCGGAUGCUGGAAUGCACCGAGGUCUAAAGCUCCGGCGCCUAAGGAUGGGUCUGCGGCCUAUCAGGUAGUAGUGGGUGUAGCGUACCUACUAGCCUACGACGGGUACGGGUUGUGAGAGCAAGAGCCCGGAGAUGGAUUCUGAGACACGAAUCCAGGCCCUACGGGGUGCAGCAGGCGCGAAAACUUUACAAUGCUGGAAACAGCGAUAAGGGGACCUCGAGUGCCAGGUUACAAAUCUGGCUGUCGUGAUGCCUAAAAAGCAUUGCAUAGCAAGGGCCGGGCAAGACCGGUGCCAGCCGCCGCGGUAACACCGGCGGCUCGAGUGGUAACCGCUAUUAUUGGGUCUAAAGGGUCUGUAGCCGGCCGGAUAAGUCUUUUGGGAAAUCUGGCAGUUUAACUGUCAGGCUUUCAGAGGAUACUGUCUGGCUCGAGGCCGGGAGAGGUGAGAGGUACUCAGGGGUAGGGGGAAAUCUUGUAAACUGAAGGACCACCA
rnacentral:rRNA from 1 species